UUUUCACCCAAUCAAAAUUUAUUUAAUAAUAUAUCAUUUGCGUGUACUCUCUCACUUUUUCUCUCUCAAUUCGACAUGGAUCGUCAAAUCAAGAACACCACAAAACAUUCACAACAACAAAGAUGAUAAAGAACCAUCCAUGGAAGAAGAAACCAACCACUCUCUUACUUCUCCUCUCCCUCCUCACCAUCGCUCUUCUCCUCGUUAAUCUCUCCCAAAAUAAACUCGCCCUCAUCACCACCACUACCUCCUAAUCCGAUCACCACCACCGUCACAAACCCUCCGAAGUAGAAGAAAAUUCUUGUCUUGGCCGGUACAUAUAUAUCCACAACCUACCUUCUCGAUUCAACAUCGACAUCCUUCAAGACUGCGAGAGGGUUUCAUGACCAAACGACAAGAUCAGUAUGUGUAAGUACGUCGAGAACUUCGGCUCCGGACUCCGAUCAGUGAGUUUACCGGUGACGGAGUUUACUCUCCGAGCUGGUACGCGACUAAUCAGUUCAUGCUUGAAGUGAUUCAACUGAUUCCACGAGAAGAUGAAGAGAUACAAAUGUUUGACGAGAAACUCGUCGUUGGCUUUGGCUAUUUUCGUACCUUAUUACGCUGGUCUUGAUUUCCGGCGAAAUAUACGGCGGCGUAACGUCGCUGAGAGAGACGCCGCCUGGAAGGAACUGUUUAAAUGGCUCAAAAAGCAACCCCAGUGGAAAGCUGUGUUAGGUCGUGAUCAUUUCCUUGUAGAAUUUCACGAGAUUUCCGAUGAAAUUCCAACAAUAAUUCCGGAUGGGGAACUAACUUAAUGCCUUUACCAGAGUCACAUAUUCUCUCUUUCCUCAACAUCGAACGAAGUCCAACUUAUCCAACCUAUUUUCAUCCAACUUCAGCCGUUGAGAUCCUCAAAUGGCAAGACAAGAUCAAACUUGCAACCCGACCAGUCCUCUUCUCAUUUGCCGGAGCUCAAAGACCGAGCAGAAGCAGGAACGGUUUGGUUCGAACUCAAGUUAUCCUACAAUGCAAGAGUUCUUUCAAGAAUUGUAGGUUUCUUGACUGCGAUGUUAAAGCUAACAGCUGUGAUGAUCCGAUCAGUUUGAUGAAGCUUUUCGAGAGCUCUGUGUAACACCCGUAUUUUCCGAAAUAACUUAAAUAA